rnacentral:rRNA from 1 species
CUCGGGAGAGCAAAGCUCCGGCGCCUGAGGCGGGGCCUACGUGAUAUUACCUAGUUGGCGGGGUAACGGCCCACCAAGGGGGAGAUGUCUAGCGGGUGUGAGAGCACGACCCGCGCCACUCGCACUGAGACACUGGCGAGACACCUACGGGUGGCUGCAGUCGAGGAUCUUCGGCAAUGGGGGCAACCCUGACCGAGCGAUGCCGCGUGGGCGACGAAGGCCUUCGGGUUGUAAAGCCCUGUCGAGGGGGAGAAAGCCGCAAGGCGGAUCCAUCCCUGGAGGAAGCUCGGGCUAAGUUCGUGCCAGCAGCCGCGGUAAGACGAACCGAGCGAACGUUGUUCGGAAUCACUGGGCUUAAAGGGCGCGUAGGCGGGCUGCCGCGUCCGGGGUGAAAUCCCACGGCUCAACCGUGGAACGGCCCCGGGUACGGGCGGCCUCGAGGGGGAUAGGGGCGGAACUGUGGGUGGAGCGGUGAAAUGCGUUGAUAUCCACAGGAACUCCGGUGGCGAAGGCGG